rnacentral:rRNA from 1 species
CUCCGUUGAAAAGGCGGCGGAUGAACUGUGGGUAGCGGAGAAAUUCCAAUCGAACCCGGAGAUAGCUGGUUCUCCCCGAAAUAGUUUUAGGACUAGCCUCAAGUUAGAUACCUGGAGGUAAAGCACUGAAUAGCCUAGCGGCCGAGAGGUUAGCGAAGCUUAUCAAACUCAGAAUGCCAGAGUAUUGAUGCUUGGGAGUCAGACAGUGUCAGAUAAAUGUCAUUGUCAAAAGGGAAACAGCCCAGAUCUACAGCUAAGGUCCCAAAGUCAGGUUAAGUGGAAAACGAUGUGAAGAUACGUAGACAACCAGGAUGUUGGCUCAGAAGCAGCCACACAUUCAAAGAGUGCGUAAUAGCUCACUGGUCGAGCGUCUUUGCGCGGAGAAUUUAACGGGGCUAAACCUGACACCGAAGCUUAGGCAAUACAGCAAUGUAUUGGGUAGGGGAGCGUUGUAUACGCGGUGAAACAGUAGCGCAAGCGGCUGUGGAGUGUAUAGAAGUGAGAAUGCCGGAAUGAGUAGCGCGAAUGCAGUGAGAAUCUGCAUGGCCGAAAGCCUCAGGUUUCUGGAGGAAGGUUCGUCCGCUCCAGGUUAGUCGGGAGCUAAGGUGAGGCCUAACGGCGUAGCCGAUGCACAGACGGUAGAGAUUCCGUCACCACCAAAAGAGUUAAGCACAGGGACACAUUUGAAGUCUCGGAGCCGGGUGUUGGUUCCGGUAGCGAUCGAGGGAAGUUAGUACCGAAGUCCGGGAUGGAAGAUGGCGAGAAAAGCUGUGUGUAUUUCUGCGGUGCCCGUACCGCAAACCGACACAGGUAGGUAGGAAGAAGAUUCUAAGGCCAACGGGAGAAGGGUUGUUAAGGAACUCGGCAAAUUGACCCCGUAACUUCGGGAGAAGGGGUGCUCCAGAGAUGGAGCCGCAGAGAAUCGGCCCAAGCAACUGUUUACCAAAAACACAGGUUUGUGCUAAAUCGAAAGAUGACGUAUACGAGCUGACGCCUGCCCGGUGCUGGAAGGUUAAGAGGAGAUGUGCAAGCAUUGAAUCGAAGCCCCAGUGAACGGCGGCCGUAACUAUAACGGUCCUAAGGUAGCGAAAUUCCUUGUCAGGUAAGUUCUGACCCGCAUGAAAGGCGUAAUGAUUUGGGCACUGUCUCGACAGCCCGCCCGGCGAAAUUGUAGUACCGGUGAAGAUGCCGGUUACCCGCGACAAGACGGAAAGACCCCAUGGAGCUUUACUGUAGCCUAAUAUUGGGUUUCGAUGUUGCAUGCACAGGAUAGAUGGGACACAGGGAAACAAGUGCUUUGGCAUUUGUGGAGUGGCCGUUGGGAUACCAUCCUUGCGAUAUUGGAAUUCUAACCUGCGCCUUUGAAUCAAGGCGGGGGACAUUGUUAGGUGGGCAGUUUGACUGGGGCGGUCGCCUCCUAAAGAGUA